rnacentral:rRNA from 1 species
AGAGUUUGAUCCUGGCUCAGAUUGAACGCUAGCGGGAUGCCUUACACAUGCAAGUCGAACGGCAGCACGGACUUCGGUCUGGUGGCGAGUGGCGAACGGGUGAGUAAUGUAUCGGAACGUGCCUAGUAGCGGGGGAUAACUACGCGAAAGCGUAGCUAAUACCGCAUACGCCCUACGGGGGAAAGCAGGGGAUCGCAAGACCUUGCACUAUUAGAGCGGCCGAUAUCGGAUUAGCUAGUUGGUGGGGUAACGGCUCACCAAGGCGACGAUCCGUAGCUGGUUUGAGAGGACGACCAGCCACACUGGGACUGAGACACGGCCCAGACUCCUACGGGAGGCAGCAGUGGGGAAUUUUGGACAAUGGGGGAAACCCUGAUCCAGCCAUCCCGCGUGUGCGAUGAAGGCCUUCGGGUUGUAAAGCACUUUUGGCAGGAAAGAAACGUCAUGGGCUAAUACCCCGUGAAACUGACGGUACCUGCAGAAUAAGCACCGGCUAACUACGUGCCAGCAGCCGCGGUAAUACGUAGGGUGCAAGCGUUAAUCGGAAUUACUGGGCGUAAAGCGUGCGCAGGCGGUUCGGAAAGAAAGAUGUGAAAUCCCAGAGCUUAACUUUGGAACUGCAUUUUUAACUACCGAGCUAGAGUGUGUCAGAGGGAGGUGGAAUUCCGCGUGUAGCAGUGAAAUGCGUAGAUAUGCGGAGGAACACCGAUGGCGAAGGCAGCCUCCUGGGAUAACACUGACGCUCAUGCACGAAAGCGUGGGGAGCAAACAGGAUUAGAUACCCCGGUAGUCCACGCCCUAAACGAUGUCAACUAGCUGUUGGGGCCUUCGGGCCUUGGUAGCGCAGCUAACGCGUGAAGUUGACCGCCUGGGGAGUACGGUCGCAAGAUUAAAACUCAAAGGAAUUGACGGGGACCCGCACAAGCGGUGGAUGAUGUGGAUUAAUUCGAUGCAACGCGAAAAACCUUACCUACCCUUGACAUGUCUGGAAUUCCGAAGAGAUUUGGAAGUGCUCGCAAGAGAACCGGAACACAGGUGCUUGCAUGGCUGUCGUCAGCUCGUGUCGUAAGAUGUUGGGUUAAGUCCCGCAACGAGCGCAACCCUUGUCAUUAGUUGCUACGAAAGGGCACUCUAAUGAGACUGCCGGUGACAAACCGGAGGAAGGUGGGGAUGACGUCAAGUCCUCAUGGCCCUUAUGGGUAGGGCUUCACACGUCAUACAAUGGUCGGGACAGAGGGUCGCCAACCCGCGAGGGGGAGCCAAUCCCAGAAACCCGAUCGUAGUCCGGAUCGCAGUCUGCAACUCGACUGCGUGAAGUCGGAAUCGCUAGUAAUCGCGGAUCAGCAUGUCGCGGUGAAUACGUUCCCGGGUCUUGUACACACCGCCCGUCACACCAUGGGAGUGGGUUUUACCAGAAGUAGUUAGCCUAACCGUAAGGGGGGCGAUUACCACGGUAGGAUUCAUGACUGGGGUGAAGUCGUAACAAGGUAACCA